AUUGAACGCUGGCGGCAUGCCUUACACAUGCAAGUCGAACGGCAGCACGGGUGCUUGCACCUGGUGGCGAGCGGCGAACGGGUGAGUAAUACAUCGGAACAUGUCCUGUAGUGGGGGAUAGCCCGGCGAAAGCCGGAUUAAUACCGCAUACGAUCUACGGAUGAAAGCGGGGGACCUUCGGGCCUCGCGCUAUAGGGUUGGCCGAUGGCUGAUUAGCUAGUUGGUGGGGUAAAGGCCUACCAAGGCGACGAUCAGUAGCUGGUCUGAGAGGACGACCAGCCACACUGGGACUGAGACACGGCCCAGACUCCUACGGGAGGCAGCAGUGGGGAAUUUUGGACAAUGGGCGAAAGCCUGAUCCAGCAAUGCCGCGUGUGUGAAGAAGGCCUUCGGGUUGUAAAGCACUUUUGUCCGGAAAGAAAUCCUUGGCCCUAAUACGGUCGGGGGAUGACGGUACCGGAAGAAUAAGCACCGGCUAACUACGUG
rnacentral:rRNA from 1 species